rnacentral:misc_RNA from 1 species
AGCGAAUGAGCAGGUAUUUGUAAUUCUACUAAGAUAUAAAGUCAAAACAACUGAAAUUCCUUCAACAGUGCUUCUAGAACAAAUGUUCAAGGCAAGUAUGACAUAGCACUUUUGAGUUUUGAUUAUAAACUAAAUAGAACUUCAUUUCCUCCUCACUACUUAAUAUACUGCGAAAGCCACUUGAAACCAUCUCCAUAGCC